rnacentral:rRNA from 1 species
AGAGUUUGAUCCUGGCUCAGGAUGAACGCUGGCGGCGUGCUUAACACAUGCAAGUCGAACGAAGCGAGAGGAGCUUGCUCCUUAAGCUUAGUGGCGGACGGGUGAGUAACGUGUGGGCAACCUGCCUUUUACAGGGGAAUAAUCACUGGAAACGGUGACUAAUACCGCAUACGAUCUUCGGAAGGCAUCUUCUGGAGAGGAAAGGAGCAAUCCGGUAAAAGAUGGGCCCGCAUCUGAUUAGCUAGUUGGUGAGAUAAUAGCCCACCAAGGCAACGAUCAGUAGCCGACCUGAGAGGGUGAUCGGCCACAUUGGGACUGAGACACGGCCCAAACUCCUACGGGAGGCA